GGUCACAGAUCCUUGAAAAUUGAUCCACGGACAUGGUUAAGAACCACUUUGUUAGAUCGGGUCACUUAGGAAGCACCAUUCCAGAAGCACUGCAAACACAGCAAAGGCUGGCCUCUGCAAAAACCGGACGGAUCCUGGAGGAUGACAGCAGACUGCCACAAACUCUACCGGGUAGUAGCCCCAAUUGCCACUGCUCUUCCAGAUGUGGUAUUGCUGCCGGAGCAGAUUAAAAUGAACUCAGUGUUGAUCCCAAGAGCACUCCCCAGUAAGCCCCAGUGAACAAUAAAGUCUCUCUCAAGGCUUGCUCCUGGAGAAGCCCUGCAGUUGUCAAUUCUUGCUAGGGGAGUCUUUGUAGACCACGUGAAGUUAACUGAAUCUCAACGUAAUAAUGAUGCUGGUAACAAUAAUAAAUAAAAAUAAUUGUUAAUAUAUGGCUUUUAUUGUAUACUUUGUUUUUGUUUUUGAUGUCAGUUGCCUUUGAGUCAACCCCAAAUCAUGGCAAACCCAUGUGUGGAGAGUAGAAUGACUACAUAGGGUUUUCAAGGCUGUGACCUUUCGGAAGCAGAUUGCCAGACCUGUCUUCCAAGGUGCCUCUGGGUGAGUUCGGUCCACCAACCUCUGAACUAGUAGUUGUGCACUUGACUGUUUGUGUUCCCAGGGACUCCUUUUGUAUAUUUAUUAUAUACUAUUCUUUUUUCUAAACACUUUUCAUACAUUAAGUCAUUUAAUGUUGAGAAUAACUCUAAGAAGUAGAAUAACAUUAUAUUUACGUUUUAUAGGUGAGGAAACUGAGGAACAGAAAAUAAAUAGCUUGCCCAAGCAGACAGGCUCUAGAUUUUUUUCUCUAAGCCAGUAUGCUGUGCUGGUAUUUUUUGGGGGGGACAAAGAAAGAAGAAUGGUUAGGACAGUGGAAAUAGAGUAAGGGAUGGCACGUGAAGCAGCAUGGUACAUUCACAAAACAGCAAGUUGUUCCAGAUAGUUGAAACUCAGAGUGCAAAGAGGGAACUUGGCAAGAGGCAAAGGUAAACAGCAGCCACAACAUGAAGGGUUUCUGUAAGGCAUCUUAAGGAGUAACAACCAAUACUGUCCAAACAACCGAUAGGGUCAGGUGCCCCACACGCAUCAUUUCACA